GACGAACGCUGGCGGCGUGCUUAACACAUGCAAGUCGAACGGAAAGGCCCCUUUGGGGGUACUCGAGUGGCGAACGGGUGAGUAACACGUGAGUAACCUGCCCUUGACUUCGGGAUAACUUCAGGAAACUGGGGCUAAUACCGGAUAGGAAUCCUUGCUGCAUGGUGGGGGUUGGAAAGCUUCGGCGGUUUUGGAUGGACUCGCGGCUUAUCAGCUUGUUGGUGGGGUAGUGGCUUACCAAGGCUUUGACGGGUAGCCGGCCUGAGAGGGCGACCGGCCACAUUGGGACUGAGAUACGGCGCAGACUCCUACGGGAGGCAGCAGGGGGGAAUAUUGCACAAUGGGCGGAAGCCUGAUGCAGCAACGCCGCGUGCGGGAUGACGGCCUUCGGGUUGUAAACCGCUUUCAGCAGGGGCGAAGCUUGUGGUGACGGUACCUGCAGAAGAAGCACCGGCUAACUACGUG
rnacentral:rRNA from 1 species